rnacentral:rRNA from 1 species
AGUGAACGCUGGCGGUAGGCCUAACACAUGCAAGUCGAACGGCAGCACAGUAAGAGCUUGCUCUUACGGGUGGCGAGUGGCGGAAGGGUGAGGAAUACAUCUGAAUCUACUUUUUCGUGGGGGAUAACGUAGGGAAACUUACGCUAAUACCGCAUACGACCUACGGGUGAAAGCAGGGGAUCUUCGGACCUUGCGCGAUUGAAUGAGCCGAUGUCGGAUUAGCUAGUUGGCGGGGUAAAGGCCCACCAAGGCGACGAUCCGUAGCUGGUCUGAGAGGAUGAUCAGCCACACUGGAACUGAGACACGGUCCAGACUCCUACGGGAGGCAGCAGUGGGGAAUAUUGGACAAUGGGCGCAAGCCUGAUCCAGCCAUACCGCGUGGGUGAAGAAGGCCUUCGGGUUGUAAAGCCCUUUUGUUGGGAAAGAAAAGCAGCAGGUUAAUACCCCGCUGUUCUGACGGUACCCAAAGAAUAAGCACCGGCUAACUUCGUG